GAACGCUGGCGGCAGGCNCUCAAACAUGCAAGNUCUAGCGGGCGUAGCAAUACGUCAGCGGCGGACGGGUGCGUAACACGUGGGAACGUACCCUUUGGUUCGGAACAACGCAGGGAAACUUGCGCUAAUACCGGAUAAGCCCGAAAGGGGAAAGAUUUAUCGCCAAAGGAUCGGCCCGCGUUCGAUUAGCUUGUUGGCGGGGUAAUGGCUCACCAAGGCGACGAUCGGUAGCUGGUCUGAGAGGAUGAUCAGCCACAUUGGGACUGAGACACGGCCCAAACUCCUACGGGAGGCAGCAGUGGGGAAUAUUGGACAAUGGGCGCAAGCCUGAUCCAGCCAUGCCGCGUGAGUGAUGACGGCCUUAGGGUUGUAAAGCUCUUUCGUCAGGGACGAUAAUGACGGUACCUGAAGAAGAAGCCCCGGCUAACUUCGUGCCAGCAG
rnacentral:rRNA from 1 species